rnacentral:tRNA from 1 species
GGGGGUUUGGCUCAGUGGUAGAGCGCUUGCCUAGGAAGCGCAAGGUCCUGGGUUCAGUCCCCAGCCCCG